rnacentral:lncRNA from 1 species
UGUCUUUUUUGAGCUUUGGGCAUUCGUUUCUAUAGUGACCUAGUUCUUUAUAUUCAUAGCAUGUUACCUCUUUGUUUGGUUUGCCUCUGGAAGUUGAUUAUGAGUGAUCUCCCUUGGGUCUUGGUCUUAUGAAGUUGUUAUUCCUUUUUCUCCAGAGUUGUUUAACUCUUCUGAUUAAAAGGGAUAACUCUUCUUCAUCAUCAGAAUCAUCCUUUUUAG